rnacentral:rRNA from 1 species
CAGCCGCCGCGGUAAUACCGGCGGCCCGAGUGGUGGCCGCUAUUAUUGGGCCUAAAGCGUCCGUAGCCGGGCCCGUAAGUCCCUGGCGAAAUCCCACGGCUCAACCGUGGGGCUUGCUGGGGAUACUGCGGGCCUUGGGACCGGGAGAGGCGGGGGGGAACCCUGGGGGAGGGGUGAAAUCCUAUAAUCCCAGGGGGGCCGCCCGUGGGGAAGGCGCCCCGCUGGAACGGGUCCGACGGUGAGGGACGAAGGCCAGGGGAGCAAACCGGAUUAGAUACCCGGGUAGUCCUGGCUGUAAAGGAUGCGGGCUAGGUGUCGGGUGAGCUUCGGGCUCGCCCGGUGCCGUAGGGAAGCCGUUAAGUCCGCCGCCUGGGGAGUACGGCCGCAAGGCUGAAACUUAAAGGAAUUGGCGGG